UGUGCCCAGAUGGGAUUAGCUAGUAGGUGGGGUAACGGCUCACCUAGGCGACGAUCCCUAGCUGGUCUGAGAGGAUGACCAGCCACACUGGAACUGAGACACGGUCCAGACUCCUACGGGAGGCAGCAGUGGGGAAUAUUGCACAAUGGGCGCAAGCCUGAUGCAGCCAUGCCGCGUGUAUGAAGAAGGCCUUCGGGUUGUAAAGUACUUUCAGCGGGGAGGAAGGGAGUAAAGUUAAUACCUUUGCUCAUUGACGUUACCCGCAGAAGAAGCACCGGCUAACUCCGUGCCAGCAGCCGCGGUAAUACGGAGGGUGCAAGCGUUAAUCGGAAUUACUGGGCGUAAAGCGCACGCAGGCGGUUUGUUAAGUCAGAUGUGAAAUCCCCGGGCUCAACCUGGGAACUGCAUCUGAUACUGGCAAGCUUGAGUCUCGUAGAGGGGGGUAGAAUUCCAGGUGUAGCGGUGAAAUGCGUAGAGAUCUGGAGGAAUACCGGUGGCGAAGGCGGCCCCCUGGACGAAGACUGAC
rnacentral:rRNA from 1 species